AAUUGUGACCUACUUUUACAGGAACACUUUACGGUAAUCCGACCUUGGCACUUUGGCAGCAUGUAUGACGCUGACAUUAAAAACGUGACUGGGAGGCAGCUGUCAAGGGCCAAUGUAACUCUGGCAGCGUGUAGCCAGUAGUGACGACAGGCCUACUCCUACUACAACUACCAUUGCUACUGACAUAUCCACAUCCAGUUCCAGUCGGUCAAGUGACAGUGCAAGUGUAAUUGCCAAACACAGAGCUCUUUUUGGAAGUUCUCAUCGAGUAGAGCAGAAUCAAAGUCAAACUCGAAGACGUAGUCAGAGUCAGACUCGAACUCAGGAGGGGCAAUCCAUCUAUUGCUACUCUCAAAUUCGGGCAUACAUACUUCACCAAAUUCACGUGCAAGAAUAAGGCAGAGAUUUCAGCUAAAAAAAUAUACAGUUGACUUCCUUUAUCAGUCGCCACACAUACUUGUGUACCAAACAUCAAAAUGUUGCGCUUCUCGCUAGAGCAUUGAAAGCGACAGGAAUACAUGUCCCCCAGAAUCCAGAACACUUUACAAAAGAAGACCAUGUAAUGGAAAAGGAUACCUGCAAAAGAGACUGCCGUGGGAGUGCGGACUUCUAGGGAGACUGCAAAGCAGGCUCCAUGGGGGACUGCAAAGGAAAUGCUUUUGCAGCUGGGCCGGUCCACAGCGAAAGGUCUGCGGGGCAGGGAAUUCAACAGCUGCGAGGAAUUUACCAGGUAGGUGGAUCUGUUGCUUAGUUAGUUUUGUAGUAAUUUAUUUGUCAGCUUUAUUAUAUUAAAUUUCUAAUGAAGCAAUACAAGAAAAUUCACUGGUACUUUUUUGUGCACAGUAAAUGACUUGUGGUAAUGCUCUUUAUUAUGUACUGGUUCAUCCCUCCCC